CAACCUCAACUCAUAUGGGACUACCCCCUGAAUUUAAGCAUAUUAAUUAGGGGAGGAAAAGAAACUAACAAGGAUUUUCUUAGUAGCGGCGAGCGAAAAGAAAUCAGUUCAGCACUAAGUCACUUUGUCUAUAUGGCAAAUGUGAGAUGCAGUGUACGGAACAUCAACAUUCUAGUAUGAGAAGUUAACGAUUUAAGUCCUUCUAAAUGAGCCAUUUACCCAUAGAGGGUGCCAGGCCCGUAUAACGUUAAUGAUUACUAGAUGGUGUUUCCAAAGAGUCGUGUUGCUUGAUAGUGCAGCACUAAGUGGGUGGUAAACUCCAUCUAAAACUAAAUAUAACCAUGAGACCGAUAGUAAACAAGUACCGUGAGGGAAAGUUGAAAAGAACUCUGAAUAGAGAGUUAAAUAGUACGUGAAACUGCUUAGAGGUUAAGCCCGAUGAACCUGAAUAUCCGUUAUGGAAAAUUCAUCAUUAGAAUUGUAAUAUUUUAAACAAUAUUAUAAUAAUAGUGUGCAUUUUUUCCAUAUAAGGACAUUGUAAUCUAUUAGCAUAAAUAUUUAUCAUAAAAUUAUGUCUGAUUGCUUAUUUGAAUUAUAUGCUUGGCAUUUUAACAUAAAAUAAAAGAUAUAAAUUUGAUAAAGUGCUGAUAGAUUUAUAUGAUUACAGUGCGUUAAUUUUCGGAAUUAUAUAAUGGCAUAAUUAUCAUUGAUAUUUGUGUUUAUUAUAUGCAUUUGUAUGAUAAACAA
rnacentral:ncRNA from 1 species